rnacentral:rRNA from 1 species
UGGGGAAUAUUGGACAAUGGGCGCAAGCCUGAUCCAGCCAUGCCACGUGAGUGAUGAAGGCCUUAGGGUUGUAAAGCUCUUUCGCCGGUGAAGAUAAUGACGGUAACCGGAGAAGAAGCCCCGGCUAACUUCGUGCCAGCAGCCGCGGUAAUACGAAGGGGGCUAGCGUUGCUCGGAAUCACUGGGCGUAAAGCGCACGUAGGCGGAUCGUUAAGUCAGGGGUGAAAUCCUGGAGCUCAACUCCAGAACUGCCCUUGAUACUGGCGAUCUCGAGUUCGAGAGAGGUUGGUGGAACUCCGAGUGUAGAGGUGAAAUUCGUAGAUAUUCGGAAGAACACCAGUGGCGAAGGCGGCCAACUGGCUCGAUACUGACGCUGAGGUGCGAAAGCGUGGGGAGCAAAACAGGAUUAGAUACCCUGGUAGUCCACGCCGUAAAACGAUGGAUGCUAGCCGUUGGGGGGUUUACCUCUCAGUGGCGCAGCUAACGCCUUAAGCAUCCCGCCUGGGGAGUACGGUCGCAAGAUUAAAAACUUAAAUGAAUUGACGGGGUCAUAGCUG